rnacentral:rRNA from 1 species
UUGUAAUUUGUAGAAGGUGUCUCGGGAGCGACGACGGUGCAAGUCCCCUGGAAUGGGGCGUCUCAGAGGGUGAGAAUCCCGUACGCCACCGAUCGUUAACCCCGCGUGAGACCCUUUCGACGAGUCGAGUUGUUUGGGAAUGCAGCUCAAAAUGGGUGGUAAAUUUCAUCUAAAGCUAAAUAUCCGCCAGAGACCGAUAGCGCACAAGUAGAGUGAUCGAAAGAUGAAAAGCACUUUGAAAAGAGAGUCAAACAGUACGUGAAAUUGUUGAAAGGGAAGCGCUUGCAACCAGACUCGGCCGCGCGUGCUCAGCCUCUCCUCGGAGCGGUGCACUCUCGCGCGGUCGGGCCAGCAUCGGUUUCGGCGGUCGGACAAAGGCUUUGGGAACGUAGCUCCUCUCGGGGAGUGUUAUAGCCCGGAGUGCAAUGCGGCCUGCUGGGACCGAGGAACGCGCUCUCGCUAGGAUGCUGGCGUAAUGGUUGCCAGCGACCCGUCUUGAAACACGGACCAAGGAGUCGACCAACCGCGCGAGUGUUUGGGUGUAAAGCCCAGGACGCGCAAUGAAAGUGAACGCAGGUGGGAGCCUCGGCGCACCAUCGACCGAUCUUGAAGUCUUCGGAUGGAUUUGAGUGUGAGCGUGCUUGGUCGGACCCGAAAGUCAUGUGAUCUAUGCGCGAAUAGGGUGAAGCUAGAGGAAACUCUGGUGGAGGCUCGCAGCGGUUCUGACGUGCAAAUCGAUCGUCAAAUUUGCGCAUAGGGGCGAAAGACUAAUCGAACUGACUAGUAGCUGGUUCCUGUCGAAGUUUCCCUCAGUAAGUUGAUCUUUUAGUGAAAUUCCGAGAUGGGAGAUAUACUAACUCUUUCUAGGGAUAGCAGCAACGAGAAACAGUCUCAUGAGGUAGAGCGAACGAUUAGAGGCCUUGGGGCUGUAACAGCCUUAACCUAUUCUCGAACUUCGAAUACGUGAGAAGUCCUUGUUACUCAAUUGAA